rnacentral:rRNA from 1 species
GCCAGACUCCUACGGGAGGCAGCAGUGAGGAAUAUUGGUCAAUGGGCGCGAGCCUGAACCAGCCAAGUCGCGUGAGGGAAGACGGUCCUAUGGAUUGUAAACCUCUUUUGCCGGGGAGCAAGCGUGCGUUCGUGAACGCGCGUCGAGAGUACCCGGAGAAAAAGCAUCGGCUAACUCCGUGCCAGCAGCCGCGGUAAUACGGAGGAUGCGAGCGUUAUCCGGAUUUAUUGGGUUUAAAGGGUGCGUAGGCGGAAUGCCAAGUCAGCGGUAAAAAUGCGGUGCUCAACGCCGUCGAGCCGUUGAAACUGGCGUUCUUGAGUGGGCGAGAAGUAUGCGGAAUGCGUGGUGUAGCGGUGAAAUGCAUAGAUAUCACGCAGAACUCCGAUUGCGAAGGCAGCAUACCGGCGCCCUACUGACGCUGAGGCACGAAAGCGUGGGUAUCGAACAGGAUUAGAUACCCGCGUACU